rnacentral:rRNA from 1 species
AUUGAACGCUAGCGGCAUGCUUUACACAUGCAAGUCGAACGGAGUGGCGGACGGGUGAGUAAUAUAUCGGAACGUGCCCAGUAGCGGGGGAUAACUACUGGAAAGAGUGGCUAAUACCGCAUACAAUUAGAGUGGCCCAUAUCGGAUUAGCUAGUUGGUGGGGUAAAGGCUCACCAAGGCAACGAUCCGUAGCUGGUUUGAGAGGACGACCAGCCACACUGGGACGGAGACACGGCCCAGACGCCUACGGGAGGCAGCAGUGGGGAAAUUUGGACAAUGGGGGAAAGCCGGAUCCAGCCAUCCCGCGUGUAUGAGGAAGGCCUUCGGGUUGUAAAGUACUUUUGGCAGAGAAGCGGUAUCUGCAGAAGAAGCACCGGCUAACUACGUGCCAGCAGCCGCGGUAAUUC